rnacentral:rRNA from 1 species
AACGAACGCUGGCGGCAGGCCUAACACAUGCAAGUCGAGCGAAGCCUUCGGGCUUAGCGGCGGACGGGUUAGUAACGCGUGGGAACGUACCCUUUUCUACGGAAUAGUCUCGGGAAACUGAGGGUAAUACCGUAUACGCCCUUCGGGGGAAAGAUUUAUCGGAGAAGGAUCGGCCCGCGUUAGAUUAGAUAGUUGGUGGGGUAAUGGCCUACCAAGUCUACGAUCUAUAGCUGGUUCGAGAGGAUGAUCAGCAACACUGGGACUGAGACACGGCCCAGACUCCUACGGGAGGCAGCAGUGGGGAAUCUUAGACAAUGGGCGCAAGCCUGAUCUAGCCAUGCCGCGUGAGUGAAGAAGGCCCUAGGGUCGUAAAGCUCUUUCGCCUGUGAAGAUAAUGACUGUAGCAGGUAAAGAAACCCCGGCUAACUCCGUGCCAGCAGCCGCGGUAAUACGGAGGGGGUUAGCGUUGUUCGGAAUUACUGGGCGUAAAGCGCGCGUAGGCGGAUCAGCAAGUUAGGGGUGAAAUCCCGGGGCUCAACCCCGGAACUGCCCUUAAAACUGUUGGUCUUGAGUUCGAGAGAGGUGAGUGGAAUUCCGAGUGUAGAGGUGAAAUUCGUAGAUAUUCGGAGGAACACCAGUGGCGAAGGCGGCUCACUGGCUCGAUACUGACGCUGAGGUGCGAAAGUGUGGGGAGCAAACAGG